AUACUUAUGUGGGAGGGGAGAUAACAUGAUCACCAAGGUGGUUUCCCCAGGGUGAGGAUUAUCCAUUGCUCUGCAGAUGUGUUGACCCCUACGAUUUCCCUAAAUAUGAAAAACUCAGCUGCAUGAUUUAUGGUAGUGGGGGGCUGCUUUUGCAUUUUCCCCUG
ensembl:snRNA U1 U1 spliceosomal RNA